GUUUGCAUAACGGAGUUAUGGAGUCCCUCGCUUUAACCUUUUCUUGUUCAUCUCGUCCUUCCACCUA
rnacentral:misc_RNA from 1 species